rnacentral:misc_RNA from 1 species
AACGCACAUUGCGCCCCUUGGUAUUCCAUGGGGCAUGCCUGUUCGAGCGUCAUCUACACCCUCAAGCUCUGCUUGGUGUUGGGCGUCUGUCCCGCCCCCGCGCGUGGACUCGCCCCAAAUCCAUUGGCAGCGUUCCUUGCCCCCUCUCGCGCAGCACAUUGCGCUUCUCGAGGGCGGCUCCGGGACGCGAUCCAGCAAGAUGACCACCGUCUUUGACCUCGGAUCAGGUAGGGAUACCCGCUGAACUUAA